rnacentral:misc_RNA from 1 species
GACGAAGGUGGCAACCGUUGUUCGGAAUCACUGGGCAUAAAGAGCACGUAGGCGGGUGUGCAAGCCGGGUGUGAAAUCCCUCGGCCCAACCGAGGAACUGCGCCCGAAACUGCAUGUCUUGAGGGCGGGAGGGGAACGUGGAAUUCCUGGUGGAGCGGUGAAAUGCGUUGAUAUCAGCAGGAACACCGGCGGCGAAGGCGACGUUCUGGCCCGCUUCUGACGCUGAGGUGCGAAAGCUAGGGGAGCAAACAGG